rnacentral:piRNA from 1 species
UACGAAGCCACCAUGAGGACGAAAGAG